UACGUAGGGGGCAAGCGUUGUCCGGAAUCAUCGGGCGUAAAGCGCGUGUAGGCGGCCCGAUAAGUCCGCUGUGAAAGUCCAGGGCUCAACCCUGGAAUGCCGGUGGAAACUGUCGGGCUAGAGUCCGGAAGAGGCGAGUGGAAUUCCCGGUGUAGCGGUGAAAUGCGCAGAUAUCGGGAGGAACACCAAUGGCGAAGGCAGCUCGCUGGGACGGUACUGACGCUGAGACGCGAAAGCGUGGGGAGCAAACAGG
rnacentral:rRNA from 1 species